UACCGGCAGCUCGAGUGAUGGCCGAUUUUAUUGGGCCUAAAGCGUCCGUAGCUGGCCCUGCAAGUCCGGCGGGAAAUCCACUCGCCUAACGAGGGAGCUUCCGGCGGAAACUACAGGGCUUGGGACCGGAAGACUUGAGGGGUACGUCUGGGGUAGGAGUGAAAUCCUGUAAUCCUGGACGGACCGCCGAUGGCGAAAGCACCUCAAGACGACGGAUCCGACAUUGAGGGACGAAAGCUAGGGUCUCGAACCGG
rnacentral:rRNA from 1 species